CAGAGGCACCAUCUCUUCUCCCAUUUCUUCGUCCAGACCUGCAUCAACUCACAACAGCUUUCCUUCUGAUUGGCCGGUGUCUCCGGACUCUGUGACGUCCCACCAUAACCGAUGACACUUGUGUUCAUCAACUGACCGCGGAUUCGAGGAUUUUACAGAGAUGGCAUGGGGUAUAUCUCUCAGGUGCCUUGAGGUGGAUGCUGAAUGACAUUCUAUGCCCAGAGCGAUUCACCAUGGCGGAGCUCAAGUCCUAGUGCAAGGUCGAUGCCAAAGAUUGAAGCCCGGACGUCAAUCGUAAUGCCAGAUUGAAGCCCAAAGGCCUACCAGAGGUUCAGAGUGAAGCCUGAAAGUCAAUUGGAAGUCCAGAAGUUGAGGCCAGAUGGUUGGACCCCCCCCAAGUCUGUGAAUCUCUGUGAGUCCACUGAGGAAGUCUGCGAAUCCAUGAGUCUACUGGAGGUUGGAGGUUGGAGGUUGGAGCCCAGUGAUGGCCUGCCUUGGGAUGAGUGGACUCUGUACUGUAUAUGUGUUGGGAAGGAGGAACGGGGAUGGUUUUCUAUUGUUACUUUGUCGGUUGGCAUGUUCUAUUUGUUGUGUUCUGUGUUGAUCUGCCGAGCAUUGUGGACAUGCUAUGUAGGUGCUGGAGUGUGAGGCAACA